AAUUGACUACGCAUGCAUGUGUACCUCCUUUUCUUGCCAGGAUAUUAAUUUUCUUGCAUCUGUUGCAAUCUUCAAAUAUUGGAUACAUCGAAUUUCGAGAAAAAAUUUUUGGGGGAAAAAAAAACUUGGGUGGAGUGCAAAUGAGCGAGCGGAAGAUGAGGUGCGAUUACACGAAAAUGCGUGUCUAAGCUUUAAUCCUGAAUCUAAUUACUCUGUCAGUUUCACCUUCUCCGUUUCACAUAAAUCAAGCAUAGACAUCAAUAUUCUUUGUAAACUCCGGAUCUCUGGCACAGGCCCAUGUCAAUUUAGUGCUGACCCGAAUGGGUUCCAACGACGGGCGGGCUGAUGAGAAACUAUUUGUCACCCCUCAAUCAAGAGUUACAUUCUGCCAAAGGGGAAAGUCCAAGAAUGGCAGUUUUGUGUCUACUUUAAGAGAUCACUUUCAUGAGUUCAUCCAUGCUUCCAUGGAUGAACACAAGACAUGCUUGAUAAAUACAAUUCAAAAGUUACUUGGAAAAAAGAGGGACAGCUCCAGUGGAAACGAAACAUCUUUACCACUUCAGUCAACGGCUAAGGAUUAGGAGGUUUUCAACAAUAUUGAAUAUCGGAAGAUGAGUAGCUGCCUCAUUUAAUUGUAUAUUGCAUCUUUUUACUUUAGCAUUUCUCUAAAUGAUUUCAAAAUUGUUAGUUAUGGUUUGACUUACACAUAUGAAGAAUAUUAUUCGCGGUUGCUGCCUGGUGAUAUUUGGAUUAACGCAACUACAUGCAUUUUCGAGUGGAGAUUUUGGAAUGUAACAGCUUCGAGUGAGCACAAUAUAGAGACCAUUGUGAAGUCAGCAGUGGGGUUCGGCCGCCGCUAGCCCAAGGGGAAUGUUAGUUAUCUCUAAGUUCAAACUAGGACGACAGGAAAUUUGAAGAACAAAACGAAGCAUGGUCUUACUAAUGCACUGCACAAUUGAUGUUUACUACGCUACAACAGAAUUUCUCUGGUAAACAGGAAGGGGAACUUUUCCCGAUUCAAUGUUUAUGAUGUCCUAAAAGGAUCCAAGAUUGUCUCUUCACUUCAUCUUUUGUUGAGUUUCCAAUAAAUGGGUUAUUUCUACCAACGAUAAGGGUUCACUGGUCAUGUAUAGCCAAGGCACUCUCGAACACUUAUUUCUUGCUUGUCCAUCUAACGAGGGACUAAUGGAUGGAAAGAAGACUUGAGGCAACUAAUCACUAUGAUCGGAGGAAUCUUUUGAAUGUAAAGUGUGAUUAGUAAACGAAUUGGAAAGUAACCUAAAAAUUCAUGAAAUAUAAGGGCACAUUAGUUUUUGUAUA